ACCGGCUGUUCUGGCUGGCUCCGAAGGGCCAAGGGAGGUUCCAUCGCACCACCAUUUCCAAGCCUGUGUCCCGUAGGGUGGCCCAGUUGGCAGCCCCUCCCCUUAGGGCACAGUUCUGGCAGCCUCGAGGUUGCAGGUGGGCCAGCAGACUUGUCUGUGGCAGUGGGGCCACAUGUGACCUCUGUGCCAUGUGUUGUAAGGGCAAGGUGCUUCACAGAGCAGUGGGGAGGGUAUCUGCUUCCUCAAAAUGUCUUCAAGUAGGGGUUGGUUAGAGGUUUCCAAGGACAAAUCCCCCAAAGGGAGAAGAAAGGCAGAAGAAAAUAACAAAACGGAAUAAAAUAGGAUUGUUCAUUUGGUAGUGACCUACAAAGAUCACCAAGUCUUGUCAAACUUCAGCACUACCCAAAAGUUAAAGCAUAUUAAUGAGGAUGUUGGCCAAAUGCCUUUUGAACAUCAGCCAUCUCAGCAGGAAGCCCGUCCCAGUGUUUGCCCACCUUCACAAUAAAGAAAUCUUAAUGCAUAUCCAGUCCGAAUUUCCCGAUGUCCCGUCUGGCCUAAAAUGAGUGAAUAGACAUGUUGUGAUGACCACACAGCAUUAAUUACACUCAUCCUGUUGCUGCAGAAGAGUUUUAAUGUGAUCCUGUUGGUCAGUAACUCAACAAUGUCAUCAAGACAUUGAAAUACAGCGCCAUGAGUGCCUUACUGGUGCAACGGCUGGAAGAACAUACUCUAGAACUGAAAAGCAAUGAAGCAUUUUCAGAGAAAAGAGUGCGAAGUUUAAAGUCCAUUGGCCACCAGGAACCAUGGCCAGGCAGAAACCCCUGCAAGGACAGAGCCUGAGAUUUGUGUGUUGCCAGAGUACCAGGCAGUACAAAUUCAGCACAGAACAGUGGAGGCCAUGACAACCGAUCCAGCAUAAAGCCCAUGGAGAGAAAGCUGCCCUUCAAAAUGCUUUGAAUGAAUUAGAGUAAGGGAAUUCAAGCUGGAUCAGCUUUUUAUGUCAUAGGCAUUCGGCGUUAUUAAAUGGAUGCUUAGAGCAGCUUUUCUCUGUCACUCGACGUGUCUUAGUCAGGCUCCUCUAGUUUGUUUUCUUCGUCCGCCUGAACCUUGCCCUCCUCUCAGCCGGCAGUGCUUGUUUUAAGAAGAAGGGUAGAUGUGGACCCCGUGCCAGCUCGGCCCUGGCACUUCCACGGGGCAGAGGAGCGAUCUUAAGGCGCCUGAGGAAUGGACUUCAAAAGCCUGGAAGGCUGAUCUGCUCACCCCCAAAUUGCUCCUGCUAAGGGACCUCUGCCCCCACUGCAGCACCGCACGGGGAUGUGCAGAGCUGGGAGAGUGCGCUCGGGCUGAUAGAGGCAGGAAACGGGUUAAAACCCCUGGCUUCGGGUCGUGUUACUCAUCUCAGAUCCUUCUCGGGCGUAAAAUCUGCCAGACGUCUGCUCAUGUUAUUUGCGGAUGUCUCAUCUUAUAUACACUGAAUACACUUACUGUAUUUCAUGCAUAUAUUUCAAAUAUAUUCCAUAUAGUUCCUAUAUUUGAUGCAAUUCUAGAUCAAAAACCCUGGAUUGUGAUUGGUAUUCAUUUUCAAAAUAUUCUAUUAACUUGAGGUUCAGUAACGAUUGGUAGCAUUCCUUAUAACCAAUUUAAAGUUAUUGUGGAUUCACCUCAGCACAAAAUAAAUACUAAAUUAGAUGAUUGGAACACGUUAAUUAUUUUGACUGACUCUGAGAAUAUUGUUUAAAGAAAGAAUAAAAGUAGGAACCUUCAAGAAUACUUUGAAAAUGAUGCUUUUGGUUUGUACAUUUUAAAAUGAAAGAAAAGAUACUGCAUAGCUGUAGAUAAUCUUCAUUUCAACAGAGAGAUACUGACUGAAGCUAGCUGAGGCCUUGGCCCUCUACAUGAUCUGCAUUACUGUCAAGUCUCUCCUCAAAAGACAAUGAUAUUCAAGGCAAGUUCAUUCUCCAUGAAUCUCCAGUAGCUCCAGGUGGAUGAAUAGCUCAUUUGCAAGUAUUUAAAAAUGAUCUUUCAGAAUUGCAGUGAAUUACUUAGUGCUUUUGUUCCCACACUGGCUUAUUAUCAACGCUAUCAAUGCACAACUGCACUGAGAAUUUUCCAAUAUAUACAAGUGUCCCAAACUUUCAUUAUAAAGUGAACAAGUCAUCAAAGUUAACAAAUCAUCCACACUCAAUCUUACCUUUAGAAGGUCCAUCCAAAUAAGAAAUAGUGGUGAUUUAAUCUUUAUUAAUUUAAUUAAACCCAUGCUAAACCAUAGUACGGGUACUUGCUCCAGUUUAUGUGUAUUUUAUUUCAGUUUAUUUUAUGUUGGCUCCUAUUCAAUUUAAGCUCAAUGAGCCAUUCUUACACGCAUUUAAGAGAACCUACAUAAGGGUGAGCACGGGUUUAAUUAUAGCCGUCUAAUUGAACCAGCAUUUUCACUGCCCAUUAGUAUUUUCUUACAUCUGCAUUUUGAGCCUUAAGUUUUUGACACUAGGAGCCUAAAGUUAAAGUCUCGAAUGCUUUGUCUGGGACGAGCUGCUCAGUGCUCUGCAUUUGCAAUUCAUGGCCUAAGCCAUUCAUUAUCCCCUUGCAGGCAGUGAGAUCUGCAAAUGUCCUAUCACCUUUGAAAAAGUGGUCAUUAUUUAGAAGUGCAAAUGAAGAUGCCAGAGGCUGACUUCAACUUGCCUGAAAGGAGGGCCAAUGCCUUAAAUCUCCUGACUGUAAAGAUGAGUUGGACAUAUUGUAACAGAGAAAUACUACAUUUACUCUGAACAUAUUGCAUGUGUGAGAGCUACUUUUUCUUAUUCCUCGUAUUCUCCUUUUCUAGCUUCUUCCUAAUCAAAAUUCUUCUUAAUUGUCCCUCCCUGACUGAAAGCUGAAUCACUGAAAUUCCUGCUCAUUUGCUUCCUGUCAAAAUGAGCCAGUAUUUCCAAAGGCAGCACUUCCUUCCAGUGACUAAUAUAUUAAAAUACAGAUUUGCUUUCCUUGG